rnacentral:misc_RNA from 1 species
UCCGAGUUGACCCCGGCAGUCUCCUGCGAGUCCCCGCCAUUACGCGCUGGCAACACAGGACAAGGGUUGCGCUCGUUGCGGGACUUAACCCAGCAUCUCACGACACGAGCUGACGACAGCCAUGCAGCACCUGUCACCGGUCCAGCCGAACUGAAGGACUCCAUCUCUGGUGUCCGCGACCGGGAUGUCAAAGGCUGGUAAGGUUCUGCGCGUUGCUUCGAAUUGAACCACAUGCUCCACCGCUUGUGCGGGCCCCCGUCAAUUCCUUUGAGUUUUAAUCUUGCGGCCGUACUCCCCAGGCGGGGCGCUUAAUGCGUUAGCUGCGGCACGGAACCCGUGGAAUGGAUCCCACACCUAGCGCCCAACGUUUACGGUGUAGACUAC